rnacentral:rRNA from 1 species
UGGGGAAUAUUGCGCAAUGGGCGAAAGCCUGACGCAGCAACGCCGCGUGGGUGAAGAAGGCUCUCGGGUCGUAAAGCCCUGUCAUCGUGGACGAAGACCAGUCGGUUAAUAGCCGGCAGGGUGACGGUACACGAGGAGGAAGCCCCGGCUAACUACGUGCCAGCAGCCGCGGUAAUACGUAGGGGGCGAGCGUUGUCCGGAAUUAUUGGGCGUAAAGCGCGUGUAGGCGGGAUUUUAAGUCGGAUGUGAAACCCUUGGGCUCAACCCAGGACCUGCAUUCGAAACUGGAAUUCUUGAGGGCGGGAGAGGAAAGCGGAAUUCCUAGUGUAGCGGUGAAAUGCGUAGAUAUUAGGAGGAACACCAGUGGCGAAGGCGGCUUUCUGGCCCGUACCUGACGCUGAGACGCGAAAGCGUGGGGAGCAAACAGG